GCUGUAAACACUACUUUAUUAAGCACGAGUGUGUAAUUCUCUGAAAUAUUUCUUUGUGGGAAAGAGAUUCUGCCCCGCACGGCCCAAUUCAAAGCUUCCGCUAGUGCUAAGCCCAAUGUUUCCGAAUUUCCCGCUGACCGAGACUCCAGGUCCACAGAUCGCCCCUCGCAGCCGAUCCCCGACCCCGGCCCUGGCGGAGGCGGGAGACGGCUGCGGACCUGCAGCCCCGGUAGACAGAGGACCAGAGUGCGGGCCUCUCAAAGGCGGGGACUUGGUGGAAGCGGUCCAGUUCUCGCGAGGUUUCGUCCUGACCCGAGCAGGCGACAGCUCCGCGGAGAGAGUGGGUUUCGCUCACAGGAGGGAGCCGAAGGGCCCGGAGUGGUCGUUGCUACCCGGGGUCCGAGCCGGGGGAGAAGCCGUCACCUGUAAAAAGCCAGUUCUCCCUAAAGUCACCCCUGGGGAAGUCCAAGGCAGCGCUGGCCUCUUCCUUCGGCUGUGGGGGCAGCGCAGGCAAACCUUGCCGGCUAAAGAGAACCGCCCUAAGCAAAAACCUUUCCUUUAGGAGAAAUUGCUGAGCUCUGCAGGAACUGUGAAUGGUGACUAUCUGGUAAUUCUAAGACUGAAAAGCAAGAGGAAAAGAGAUGGGAAAUGAGAAUUGAUGGGGAGAAGCAGGGGCAUCCAUGUUCAACCUCAGCCUGAGAGUCUGAGUUAAUCUGCAGUGAAGGUAAGGACUACCAGGAGCUGGCCCCCCCUGACUUUGUCACCUGGGAACAGCCAAACAGUCGUGGCCACUUUCAGAGAAAUAAAGAAGGUAGGAGAGCACCCCUGGGAGCUAGA
rnacentral:lncRNA from 1 species